GCUGGCGGCAGGCCUAACACAUGCAAGUCGAGCGCGUGUAGCAAUACACGAGCGGCAGACGGGAGAGUAACACGUGGGAACGUACCCUUCGGUUCGGAAUAACCCAGGGAAACUUGGAUUAAUACCGGAUACGUCCGAAAGGAGAAAGAUUUAUCGCCGAAGGAUCGGCCCGCGGCUGAUUAGCUAGUUGGUGAGGUAACGGCUCACCAAGGCGACGAUCGGUAGCUGGUCUGAGAGGAUGAUCAGCCUCACUGGGACUGAGACACGGCCCAGACUCCUACGGGAGGCAGCAGUGGGGAAUAUUGGACAAUGGGCGCAAGCCUGAUCCAGCCAUGCCGCGUGGGUGAUGAAGGCCCUAGGGUUGUAAAGCCCUUUCGGCGGGGAAGAUAAUGACGGUACCCGCAGAAGAAGCCCCGGCUAACUUCGUGCCAGCAGCCGCGGUAAUACGAAGGGGGCUAGCGUUGCUCGGAAUCACUGGGCGUAAAGCGCACGUAGGCGGAUCGUUAAGUCGGAGGUGAAAUCCUG
rnacentral:rRNA from 1 species